UUAUUUAAAAUUGAUUUACAAAAUAGUUUUUAAAAACUAAAAAAUAAAAACGAAAUCAAAGAGGCCCCAAGUUUCUUGUUUCUGAUUUUAUGCUAACUUGUAUCGUAGUUUACUAUUCCGUCUACCCUUUCACCCAAAAUCUCCAAAACCAUUCGACUUUGCCAUUACCCAACACCACCGUCCUUCACCUUCCGGCGCCGUUUUCCGGCAACCAACCACCGUCCUUCCUUCUUUCUCAAUCGUUUAGUUCUGGUUCGUCUCUGUUCAUCUUUAUUUUGUGAAGGGGGAGGAGAAGGGAUUUUUUUCAAAAAUUGUACUUGACUUUUUUCUCUUAUUUGAGAUUGAUUUUCAUGUGGUUUUUGCACUGUAGCCUUGAAAUCGUGA
rnacentral:lncRNA from 1 species